UGCUGAAGGACCCCUGGAGUUGGGCCUGCGCUCUGGACGCUCCUGCCGGAAGUGGGCGGGAUCGCGUUGCAACGCGGCAAGGGCGAUGAGAGCGCGGAGGAGGCGCUGGUGGCCGAGUUUGGGGCGGGGACUGUCCCCAAUGCUCCGCAGCAAGGUUGGCUGAUUGUGGAGGCUAAAGCAACUCUACCUUGCCAGCUUAUCCACCAUGUGGACUUCUAAUUAAUCUCAGUUGCCGGAAUGCCUCUAAGAUUUCUACGUUAUCUACUGUGAAGAGCAAGUAAUUACUGCAAAUCCUGCCCUUGGGUCAAAACAACCUUGAUGACAUAUUCCUUCUGAAGCACAUAUACUCUUUCCCUAGCUGCCUGCCCUGCAGACUUCAGGCUCCAGCAUCAGACACAGAGACCCAGCGUUAUGGAGACUGUCUAACCAGAUCUCACAAUUGUGGAAGAUCCCAACUCCUACAGAAAUCUCUUAAAAACCACGUGUGGCUGGGCACAGUGGCUCAUGUAUGUAAUUCCAGCACUUUGGGAGGCUGAGCCAGGUGCUGUGGCUCACGCCUAUAAUCUCAGCACUUUGGAAGGCUGAGGCGGGCAGAUCAUCUGAGGUCAGGAGUUCGAGACCAGCCUGGUCAACAUGGUGAAACCCUGUCUCUACUAAAAAUACAAAAAUUGGCGUGGUGGCAUGCGCUUGUAAUUCCAGCUACUCAGGAGGCUGAGGCAGGAGAAUCACUUGAACCCAGGAGGUGGAGGUUGCAGUGAACUGAGAUGGCACCAUUGCACUCCAGCCUAGGCAACAGAGCAAGACUCCAUCUCAAAAAAUAAAUAAAUAAAUAAAUAAAAAUAAUUAUGUUCAUACAUAACUUUAAAAAUAAAAGAUCCAAACCAGGAAAAAUAAAUAUAAGUGGUAAAACUACAAAGAAAAGCAACUAAAUUACCAGAAAAGCAAGGCUGUGGUUACGUCUGGGGGAAAGAAGGAGGCCAAGGCUGAGAGUCUGCAUGUUCCAGGAUUCUGGGCUCUGGCAGUGAUUAAUUUCAUGACCUGGGUGGUAUGUACCUAGGUGUUCAGCUUACUAUUACUUGACAAACUGUACAUAAUGGUUUUUGUGCUUUCCUCUAUGCUUAUUUCGUGAGAAAAUAUAAAUGUAAAAAAAAGCUGACAAAAGCAAGUCUCAGCACAUUGUUGUUUUAAAUGUAAUAGAUUAGUAUACAAUUUAUUUACAAGAUGAACAGUACACAACAUAAUGAGAUAUAAAAGAACAUAAAUUGAACUAGAAUGAUAUACCCCAAGUUCACAAUAGUGGUUGCUUCUGGAGAGUGAGAAAGUGGGGAUUAAUGUAUAAUUAUAUGCCAGGUGCAGUAGCUCACACCUGUAAUCCCAGCACUUUGGGAGGCCAAGACAGGAGGAUCGCUUUGAGACCAGCCUGGUCAACAUACUGAGACUGCCAUCUCUACAGAAAAUGUAAAAAAUUAGCCGGGUGUGGUGGCAUGCACUUGUAGUCCCAGCUACUCGAGAAGUUGAGGUAAAAGGAUCACUUGAGCCUGGGAGGUCAAGGAUACAGUGAACUGAGAUCACAUCACCGUGCUCUAGCCUGGGCGACAGAGACAGACCUUGUCUCAAAUAAAUAAAUAAAUUAAAUAUUUUUUAAAAGGCCAGGCCUGGUGGCUCACGCCUGUAAUUCCCAGCACUUUGGGAGACCGAGGUGGGCAGAUCACGAGGUCAAUAGAUCGAGACCAUCCUGGCCAAAAUGGUGAAACCCCAUCUCUACUAAAGAUACAAAAAUUAGCUGGGCAUGGUGGCUUACACCUGUAGUCCCAGCUAUUCAGGAGGCUGAGGCACAAGAAUCACUUGAACCUGGGAGGCGGAGGUUGCAGUGAGCCGAGAUCGUGCCACUGCACUCCAGCCUGGGUGACAGAGUGAGAUUCUGUCUCAAAAAAAGAAAAAAAGAGGCCAGGUGCGGUGGCUCAUGCCUGUAAUCCCAGCACUUUGGGAGGCCGAGGCGGGUGGAUCAUGCGGUCAGGAGAUCGAGACCAUCCUGGCUGACAUGGCGAAACCCCAUCUCUACUAAAAAUAUAAAAAAUUAGCCAGGCGUGGUGGUGGGCGCCUGUAGUCCCAGCUACUUGGGAGGCUGAGGCAGGAGAAUGGUGCGAACCUGGGAGGCGGAGCUUGCAGUGAGCCGAGAUCGCACCACUGCACUUCAGCCUGGAUGACAGAGCAAGACUCCGUCUCAAAAAAAAAAAAAUAUAUAUAUAUAUAUAUAUAUAUAAUUAUAUAAUAAUAUGUAAUUCUAAUCUAGUGGUUUUUAAGGUAUUCACAGGGUUGUGCGACCACUACCGCUAUCUACUUUUGGAAUAUUUUCAUCACUUCGAAAGGAACCUGAUACCCAUUAGUUGUCACUCUUCCUUUCCCCACUCCCCCAGCCCCUGGCAAGCACUUCUCUGCUUUCUGUCUCUCUGAAUUUGCCUGUUCUGGACAUUUCCUAUAAGUGGAAUCAUACCCUAUGUAGUCUUUUGUGAUGCACGACCUUCACUUCCCACGAUGUCUUCAAGGUUUUUCCAUGUGACAACCUGUGUCAAUACAUCAUUCUGUUGGAUGGCUGAAUCAUAUUCCAUUGUGCGGUAGAUCACAUUUUGUUUAUUCAUUCAUCAGUGGAUGGACACUUGCAUUGUUUCCACUUUUUGGCUUUUAGGAAUAAUGCUAGUAUCAACAUUUGUGUACAAGUUUUUGUGUGGACAUAAUGUUUCAUUUCGUUUGGUGCUACACCCAGAAGUGGAAUCGCUCUGUCGUAUGGUAACGGUGUUUCAUAUUUUGAGGAACUGCCAAACUGUCUUCCGAAGUGGCUGCACCAUUUCACAUUCCCAUCGGUAAUACGUGAGGGUCUUAAUUUCUCCACAUCUUUAACAUUUAUGAUUGUCUUUUUAACUUUAGCUAUUCUAGUGAGUGAGAUCACUCUGAUCCGAUUUGCAUUUCCCUAAUAAUUAAUGAUGUUGAACUCAGGAUGUCUUUGUUAAAUGCAGAAAUAACCAUGUAAAUUUCCAGAUUAAAUCGCCACAUCAAAAUUUUUAUAUGAUUAAUUUGAACAAUUAAUACUUUAGUUAUUUUCUGAUUACAAAAGCAGUAUAUACUCAAAUGAUUAUUCCCAAAGUCAGGGUAAUCCUUUGAGGGGAAGAGAGAGAGAGCCAGGAUCGGAGAAGAGGG
rnacentral:lncRNA from 1 species